UUUGGGGAUUACUUAUAAGAGAGAAAAUAAAUAAAUAUGAAUGCCUAGGCAAAAAAUAAACUCACUUCUUAGAUGUUAUAAUAGCUUAAAUGGUUCAGGUAGAGACUCAAAUCCAUUAUCAAAGAUGAAUCCUUGAUUUGAUUUAUCAUCAAGAAAACCAAACCCCCUCCAAUCAUCAUAAUUUCUUUAUCAAUUUCUUCUCCACUAAAAAUCGUUGCCGUCGAGCUUGAAACCAUCGCCAAACUCAGAGGAGGCAGUUGUGUUGGGCACUUGCCACGUUCUCAAUAAUUUGCAACCGAUCUUUACAAGUAACAACUUCCUCUUGACUCACUAUCAUCAUCAAUGACAACAAGCUUGGAGAGAAUGAAUAUAUAUCGAUGAAAUCAGGAGAGAAAAAAGAACAAGAUUUUUUUUAAUUUAGUUUCGAUGAGAGAAAAGAGUAUUUAGGGGAUGUCGUUAGGUUCAUCGUGGAAGAGAAGAAAAUGAAAAAGAAGAGUGGAAGAGAAAAAAAAUAAAAAUAAAAAUAAAAAUAAAAAUAAAAAUGUUGAAAGUGGAUAAUAAAAAAAGAAAAGAUAAAACUUUAUGCAAAUCCUAUUUUGAUUGUUUAGGCUUAAUUUGGUUCAAUGUAAUGGCAAAGCCAUUACAGGACAGUUCCAAUUUCUACAGUAAAGCAGAGGUUUGGUUCGUUGGAAAGCUUAAAACGCCGAAUGCGAUUACAGCUUCAUUCCGAAAAUCGUUGAAUAGCCAUUCAGGGGAGGAGGUGCCGAAUUGGCUAUUCCAACCUCUCCACAGGAUGACCUUUUUUUCCCUUCCUAAACUAAAAUUUCUCAAUGGUUUCAGUUUUUUUUUUCUUUAGCCAUCAACAAUCACACGCUCAAAUAAACCUGAAAGGAAGCAAAUCAACUUGAAGGCGAAAGACCCACACUUCGUUUACCAUUCCUAAACGAUUCUAACCCAUCACUAGAAUCGCCUAGUGCUUAUUAAGGCCUUAUUUGUUUUGAUGGUAAGUUUUUUUUUUCUUUCUCUCGAAUAGAGAAGUAAACCAAUGGCUUAUAGUCGUAUUCAUUCAAUAAGUUAUCCAUUAUCUACAUGUCCAAAAUCAAGGUUGAUAAAUUGAAACUUUCAGGUUUCAUUUUCCUUUUCAAGGUUGCCAUCUUAUUUUACUGAACAUUUGUAAUUGAAAAAGGUUGAAUUUUUUUCUAGGUUCAAAAUGAAGUAGCUUUUUCAUUAGGUCAUGGGUUUUCAAUUUGCAGAACUCCCUAUGUUAAAUGUUCAUAAAAGCUAGGUGAACAACCACUGGGCAUUUCCGAAGUUGUUGAGAAGUGGGUCUCCUUUAAAAGAUUGAAUUCAAUUUAUCAAAAUCUUGAAUUAGAAGCCCAAAGUUACUAAAUUUUUGAGGGUGCAGGAAACCAGUGAAAAAGGUUGGAAAGAACGAGCAUCACUUGUGGAAGAAAAGAGAUUCAGCUGGAAAGGCACUCAAUCUUGUUAGAAUUAUAAGUUUAAUUUGUUUAUUUGUUCUAUAUUGGGUAUAGUUUUUAGUUAUAGUAUGGAUUUAGUAGUUGAAGUUUAAUUUCGAUUUUUAAUGAUGUUUGUGUUGCAUUUGUUUUGUGAUUUCACUAUUAUUGUAUACCCACUGAUUGAAAUCUGUUUUGUACUAAUGUUGUUGGAGUUAUUCUAUUAUUUAUUGAGAAUCCAUUUUACUAAAAUUUUAGGAGCCAUUUUAUUUUUUUCUGUAUAAAUUAGGGCUAUUGUUCCUUCUGCAACCAUGGAAGACUUUUGCUACUCAUCCAUAACACCAUUUACAGCUUGAACCAAACUUGCUUUAUUCUGCGGGUGGCUGCUUGAACCAAACUACUUUAUUCUAGGCAUCACUUUUGAUUGUAAUCAAUUUCUUUUUUGGGCUUAAUUUAUAUGCAGAUUUAGUUAUAAUGAUUCUUAGGUUUGAUUGACUGUACGAUUAAUUUGGUGUAGUGGGUACAAUAUGCAAAGACAAAGUCAGAUUGUAUCGCCAAAAAUGAUGGAAACUUUGUUCCCAGAGAAAAGAAGAAGUAGGAAGAAAAAUGUGACAACCUUGCGUUUUAGUUCUUUGAAUUGCUAUAUAUGCAUAAUGCAUGGUCCUUAUUGACUUAAAGAAAAUGGUUUCUCUUGUAUUUCAUUUUGUUAUCGUGUGAAUGUAAUUAUUGCAAUUAACGUGUUUAUAUUUUUCAUCAUUAGUCUACUACCCUUUUGACCAUAAGAAAAACAGGGGUGUAACAGAAGAUAGUUUUUAAAUACAUGGUGCCUUUUUGGUUAGAAGUUAGAACUUGGAUGUUUUAGUUUUCUUUUUUAUUUCUAAUUACACAUUUCUAUAUGACUACCUAUUUGUUAAUUUCUGUGGGGAGAAAUGCCUUCACUGAAACAUUGAGUUCUUUUUUAAUGAUGCUAUUCUGGGGCCAGAUAUUUUAACUUUUGGAAUAUUGUUUGUAAAGAAAACAGUCUUAUAGAGUUACUUUUUAUUUGGGAAGGGGGCAGGGAACUUAAAUUUUGCAUCUUCCUCUGGUUUUCUUACGUUAAAAUAUUUAUUGAAUGAUUAUUUGGUGUGCUUCUACUGAUUCAACCUAUUUGUUCAAGAUGCUAUAAUUUAAGCUGUGGCUAUUGACUUUGUUCUGUUUAGUAUUUUCUCGAGUUAAAUUAGGUUUCAUGAAGUCGCUGAUACUCAGAUGACAAAGUAGAUGUUGAGCAAAGGACAAGAAGCUAUGAUGGGAACAUAUGACACCUUUCUGUUUGCAUUUGAUAUGGAUAACAGAGUGGAUGAGGCUGGAUCAUUGUGGAAUAUGGUUUUACAUACACACAAUUGUUCUAUCUCAAAACGGUUAUUUUCUAGGAAAUAUAGGUGAACGAUUCAAUGAGACUGUGGGAUUACAUGGCUCCAAAGGUUCUUAAACAUAAUUAUGGCCCAGAGGUUGAUAUGUCUGGAGUGCUGGAGUUAUCAUCUAUAUUUUACUUUGUGGUAUGCCACCAUUCUGGGUAGGUUUGUCUUUCUAUUUUCAAGUACUUCCCUUUGCUUUUCACAUCAUAAAGGUUGUAUCUCGAUAUAAAUGUAGAGACAAUGUGUGCUUCCAGAGUUUGGAUAAAAAAAAAGAGAGAUAUAAAGAAAAAAAACUUUUAAAUUAUCUUUAAUAUUAUGUAUCAAGAGUUUGAUA